ensembl:lncRNA
AUGGACGGCGAGUUUGACAGAGAAAUAGAUGAUGACGGGUGGGGACCGAUUACGGGACUUAGGACUGUCGAGGAGCAGGUGUUGGCUCUCAAUAAAGUGAUAGAUCGAACACACGAACCCCGGUCAGCGGCAGAAGAAAAAUCUAAGCUAAAAGCAGCAGUGAUAAAAUUGAUGCAGGAGAAAAAGAGAAGCAUGCAAGGUCAAGGUAACUUAAAGGCUGAGUUUUGGAAAAAAGAAGAGGAAGCCAAGCAAAGGGAGGAGAAAGAGAUAGAGGAAGGGAAAAUAUGCGGACUCAUAAAUAAGGGAAAGCAUAAGAAAGCACAGGCAAAAGCCAGUGAGGAGAGAGCUCAAUGGAGCAAAUGGGCUAUGUGGUGGCAGGGAGUAAAACACCUCAUGACUGAAGAGUCCAAAAAACAAAAAAUAGACAACCCCCCGGUUCCAAAUCCCCCACCGUACUCGACUGCAUGUCCAAGUGCUCCGCUUACUAAACCUACACCGGGUAUAUAUCCCUCACUGCAGAUAACAUCAGGGAAAAUCUAUAUAGAUAACGCCCAAGAUAGUGACUGGACAGAAUCACGUAGCAGUAUAAGCGUUACGGCAGCUUCAGAAAUAACAUCUCACGCACCGCUUCCCACACCCCAAAGGCAGGACACUGCUCAGAAGCAGACAAAUCAUAUUGAGCCAGAGCCGUUUUUAUUAAGGGGACAGAGAGACGGAACAAAUCAGGAAGUGCAGUUAGGCCUUUCUGAGGCGGAUUUGAUAAAAUGGAUGCGGCCGAAAGAAAAGGAGGGAGCAAAGACACCAGAAGGGGCCUGCGGGCCCGAUAUAGAUAGGUGGGUGCAGGGAGCACAGGGAGGAAAAGACAAAUCAGAAGAAAGAAAGAGACUACUUAGAGAAAAAUUGACACAGAUACAAUUGCAGGAGGAAAAAGAAAAAAUAGUCGAAGACAAAAUUGCCCGAUUCCUACAUGAAAGGGAAGACAGAGAAGGGGAGAUUGAAAUGUCAGCAAAAGGCAGGUGGGAAUCAGGACCCUAUAGGGACGAGGAAGCUGAGGUGGCAAUGCAUGCGAGGGGAGUAUGGGGCGAAGAUAACGACGGAAAAGCGUUAGAACAGCUAGAACAAGAGAUCGAAGAGUCACACCGGGUUAUGAAGGAACUGACCGAAAAGGCCCGCAUGCAAACUAGGUCUCAGACAGGACAUUCAUCUAGACCACCUAUCCGAUAUCAACUCCCACUGAUACAGGCAGGUUCGAGCAAUACUAUGCAGUACCGUCCAUUCCCCAUAGGUGAUGUCCAAGCCUUAGUGGAUAAACUACCCCCCGUGGCAGAAGGAGGGUCCUUAUGGUUGAGUCAGCUAGAUAAAUUGACAGCUGGCCAAAAGCUCGCGUUAGGAGAUUUCAGGGCAGUAAUAAGUAGAUGCCUUACAGGGUCUGAUGUACGGGACCUUGAGGAAGAUGCAGGCACAAAUAAAGACAGAGAUGAUAUCCCUUUUACUACUGUUAGCACAAAAAUGGGUCAGGCCAUGAGGGUUAAAUAUCCUCUUCCUAGUGCCGCUGCAGUACCAAAGCUAAAAUGGGACACAAAACAAAGCCCGCGUGAGUAUUUAGACCAUAGUAAGGACAUGUGGAUCAAACAAACCGGGUGCCACCCCGGAAAAGAAGGCGUACAGAGAGAGUGGUAUAGGGCGGCCGUCUUAAAGGGUGUUCCAGAGGAGGUGAGAAAAGCCAUGGAAAAUAACCCUGACAUGGCAGGUUGCGAUUCCACAGUGUGGGACCGCCACCUCAUACAUCAUUUGUUGCGAGCUCAGGAUAAAGUAGAGGAUGAGAGUCAGACAGUAAAAGACCUGCAGGCUCAAUUACUGAAAAUACAGCUGGCAGAGGCCAGGCAAAAAGCCAACGAUAAGAAAAAGCCUGAUAAAAAAGUGCUGGUAGCUACACAGGGCGCCGCAGGAACCCCAGACCUUUACCCAACACCACCCUGGGUCCAGCCACCUCCUUAUCAAAAUCAAAACCAACAGCAGAGGCCCACGCGGGGGUAUGGUAGGGGCAGAGGCUCAUGGGGAGGCGGGCGUGGAAGGGGCGGUCCACCUAGGGGAGGACAAGGGAGAGGUCGUUGCUACUAUUGUGAGGAGACAGGACACUGGGUGAGAGAUUGUCCACACAUUGGAGAGCAGAAACCUCCACAGCCUCGCGGGCAGAGUGCUCCGGCGGCGCGCCAGCUUCCCGCGUUCGGAUGGGAACGCUGGGACGGAGAGGCGCACCAACAACAAUAG